rnacentral:rRNA from 1 species
GUCCACGCCCUAAACGAUGUCAACUAGGUGUUGGGUGGGUAAACCAUUUAGUACCGGAGCUAACGCGUGAAGUUGACCGCCUGGGGAGUACGGCCGCAAGGUUAAAACUCAAAGGAAUUGACGGGGACCCGCACAAGCGGUGGAUGAUGUGGAUUAAUUCGAUGCAACGCGAAAACCUUACCUACCCUUGACAUGUCCAGGAGCCCUUAGAGAUUUGGGUGUGCCCGAAAGGGAACUGGAACACAGGUGCUGCAUGGCUGUCGU